rnacentral:rRNA from 1 species
GACGAACGCUGGCGGCGUGCUUAACACAUGCAAGUCGAACGGUGAAGCGCCUUCCUUUUUGGUGGGUGUGGAUGAGUGGCGAACGGGUGAGUAACACGUGAGUAACCUGCCCCCUUCUUCUGGAUAACCGCAUGAAAGUGUGGCUAAUACGGGAUAUUCUGGGUCUGUCGCAUGAUGGGUCUGGGAAAGAUAUUGUUUCGGUGGGGGAUGGGCUCGCGGCCUAUCAGCUUGUUGGUGGGGUGAUGGCCUACCAAGGCGGUGACGGGUAGCCGGCCUGAGAGGGUGGACGGUCACACUGGGACUGAGACACGGCCCAGACUCCUACGGGAGGCAGCAGUGGGGAAUAUUGGACAAUGGGCGCAAGCCUGAUGCAGCGACGCCGCGUGAGGGAUGGAGGCCUUCGGGUUGUGAACCUCUUUCGCCAGUGAAGCAGGCCUGCCUAGUUUGUGGGUGGGUUGACGGUAGCUGGAUAAGAAGCGCCGGCUAACUACGUG